UUGGACGAUCAAACCAGCAUUAAUACAUCGAAUCUCAUCAGAACUUCACAGUUAAGCGUGUUUGGACAAGAAUAAUAAUAAGAUGAAUGACCUCUUGAAAAGUCAUUCUGUUGCACAUC
rnacentral:rRNA from 2 species